UCAGCAUUAAAACAUCUUCGACCAACUAGCCCUGAUGAAGACGAUGUGGCUGCUAAGAAGCACAUUACGCACAUAUUUUUUGGAGUUGUGAAAAGUUGAAGUCAUUUUGGGAGGAUGUACAUUUAGUUUUGAGUACUGUACUUGGCUAUAAGAUUUCUUUGUCAUGCACUGUCUUGUCCCUAGAUCAUAUUUAACUUGUCACAUUAAAGAGGGACAGAUACCUUGUAAAUAUACUUCUGACAGCAGCA